rnacentral:lncRNA from 1 species
GUAAAUUCUAAAGCCUGACUUUCUUGGCACAGUUAUUUUUUCCUGUCUGAUUUAAUUUCUUAUUUGCAUUUUAUUAAGUGCUAUCUUAAUAAACUUCUUAGAGCUCCUAUGAAGAAACUUCAUAGGAGUCCUAUGAAGAAAGGGUGAGAGAGCUGGGGAUGUUCAUCCUGAAAAAGAGAAGCCUCUGCCGUGACCUCAUUGCAGCUUUUUCAAUACUUAAAAGGAAAGUUGUAUACUACUUAUAAAGUAGUAUAUAGAAAGUAUAUAUAGAAAGUAGUAGUAUAUAGAAAGUAUAUAUACUACUUAUAAAAAGAUGGAGAGCAACUUUUUGAUAAGGCAGACGAUAGGACAAGGGGGAAUGGUUUUAAACUAAAAGAGGGGUGAUUUAGAUUAGAUGUUAGGAGGGAAUUCAUCACUCGGAGGGUGGUGAGGCACUGGAACAGGUUGCCCAGAGAAGUUGUGGAUUCCCCAUCCCUGGAAUUGUUCAAGACUAGGCUGGAUGGGGCCCUGGGCAACCUGAUCUAGUGGGUGGCAUCCCUGUUCAUGGCAGGAGGAUUGGAACUAGAUGGUCUUUAAGGUCCCUUCCAACCCAAGCUAUUCUAUGAUUCUGUGAACUUCCAGCAUAACAGUAGAAACCUUUCCUGAACUAGACAAAGAUUAAUAUUCUGUGCUAGAGGAGAGCACAUAGUUCUGUUUAUGUUAAACUACUGGGAAAUAAAUACGGAAAAAUAACCAAUUGUCACUUAAAACUUUUCUAAGUGUGGAGAGCGGAGGGAAGGUUGUCCUGAUUCUUCACCAUUAUAAGUGCCUUACAGUCCUAUUUUGCUGUUACAGUAAGUUGCAAAAGAUUGAAAAACUAGGUCUAGAAAGUCUACCUUAGAAAGCAGCUUUAAUGCAAUUAUUUCAUAACUUUUAAAGAGUCUAUUCUGUUUCCCUCCUCAUAGUUACGACAAUUUGCAGGCCAAUAGCAUAGCAAGGAAACACAGACUUAUAUCUGCAAACUGGACUUUGGCUGUCACUGGAGAAGCAUCUUCAUCACCAAAACUGAGAAGGACAAAACCUGGGCAGGAUAGGAUCUGCCAGGUCUACAUCUCAAGGAUAAUGUUUGCUCGCAUCUGACAAAUUAUUCCAUUAACAAGAACAGUGUUAAUUCUGCUAAAGAAGACGACACUGGUGGUAAGAAGUAAAAAGGAGAAAACGUUUCUAAGCUACUCUCAGAGAGGGUAUUAUUUACUUUUUCUGGCACAUAUUCAUAUGCUUGAUUUAGGUCUUCAGAGUAUUUCUUUGUGUUUCCCCAAUGCAGCAUAUUUUUUGCUGUUGAAUUAAUCAAGUGAAGAAACUCAGAAGAGUUACAGAAUUGGACACCGAAAGCAGGGAGGAAAACUUUGCAAAGGGGAGUUAGGACUCAGGCUUGACAGCAACACUGGAUUUGUUUCAGUUUUUCUCUUGAGA